rnacentral:rRNA from 1 species
GCCCUUUUGAAAGGGAAACGAUUGAAGUCAGUCGUACUUGCGGACAAUCAGCCUUUCGGGUGCGAUUAUGUGGAGCGUGAGGAGCUAAACACCUUCAUGUCUGCGUAUUUGUAUUCCGGGGUGUACUUGGACGUGCGGUAGGUUAACAUCAAUUUCGGACGUCAUAAAAUGGCUGGAGGAAUGUAGCUUCGGUCUCGUACUGAAGUGUUAUAGCCUUUGGCAGAUGUGGUGAUCGGGAUUGAGGAUUGCAACGGAUACCUUUCGGGGUUACUCGUCUGAUCUCUGAAAGUUACUUUGGUGCCGAAAGCUUGCUUAUGGUUAUCGAAGUUAACGGUCAAUAGGUUAAACGAACGGGUUAAAUUCGUUAAGGAUGUUGACGU